rnacentral:rRNA from 1 species
CCUANGGGAGGCAGCAGUGAGGAAUAUUGGGCAAUGCCCGCAAGGGUGACCCAGCAACGCCGCGUGGAGGAUGAAUGCCGUAAGGUUGUAAACUCCUUUUGAAGGGGACGAAAAAACAGAUAGUCUCUGUAUUGACUGUACCCUUAGAAGAAGCCCCGGCUAACUACGUGCCAGCAGCCGCGGUAAUACGUAGGGGGCAAGCGUUGUCCGGAUUUACUGGGUGUAAAGGGCGCGUAGGCGGGUUUGUUAGUCAGAGGUGAAAUCCUGCAGCUUAACUGUAGAACUGCCUCUGAUACUGCAAAUCUUGAGUUCAGAAGAGAGAAGCGGAAUUCCAGGUGUAGUAGUGAAAUACGUAGAUAUCUGGAAGAACACCAGUGGCGAAGGCGGCUUCUUGGUCUGUAACUGACGCUGAGGCGCGAAAGCGUGGGGAGCAAACAGGAUUAGAUACCCUANUANUC